AAAAUCCGUCGACCUUAGAAAUCGUGAGGGUUCAACCCCUCUAUCCCCA
rnacentral:tRNA from 1 species